rnacentral:rRNA from 1 species
AACGAACGCUGGCGGCAUGCCUAACACAUGCAAGUCGAACGAGACCUUCGGGUCUAGUGGCGCACGGGUGCGUAACGCGUGGGAACCUGCCCUUAGGUUCGGAAUAACUCCCCGAAAGGGGUGCUAAUACCGGAUAAUGUCUUCGGACCAAAGAUUUAUCGCCUUUGGAUGGGCCCGCGUUGGAUUAGCUAGUUGGUAGGGUAAAAGCCUACCAAGGCGACGAUCCAUAGCUGGUCUGAGAGGAUGAUCAGCCACACUGGGACUGAGACACGGCCCAGACUACUACGGGAGGCAGCAGUGGGGAAUAUUGGAAAAUGGGCGAAAGCCUGAUCCAGCAAUGGCGCGUGAGUGAUGAAGGCCUUAGGGUUGUAAAGCUCUUUUACCCGGGAUGAUAAUGACAGUACCGGGAGAAUAAGCUCCGGCUAACUCCGUG